AUUAACUAAAACUAAUUUAAAGAGUAUUCAACACAAUUAUAUAAAUUAUUAAGCACUUAUCAAAAUUCAAAUAAUGUGAAGAGUUUAAUAAAUUAACUUGAAAUGAGAAAUAUCUUAGAAAAUAUGAAAUCAAAUGAAAUAACAAUAGCUUGACUACAUAAUAAUUUUAUUAUUGAAACUUUUGCAAUCAUAAGCCAUCUUCGUGGCAACCGCCUUGAAUUAUCAAUUAUUUGAAAGUGGAGACAUAAUGGGGUGAGAAUAAUUCUCAAUAAGUGUGUGUGGAUAAUGAAUUUAUAUAUGUAUUUCUAUGGAAAAUUCAUAACUUACACAAGGAGAUACGAAAAUUAGAUUGAACUUAUAUGGUGCUAUAUUCUACUACAUAGCACUGCUAAAUUCAGUCCAUUCUGAAUAAAAUAUACGUAACAUGGACCAAAACAUAAUAUAGCUGUCGAAAUAUUACAUAUAUAAACAUUAGCCACUAUAAACGUAUAGUACAACUUACUUUUCACCGGGCAAUUUAAAAUGAUAAAAAGAGUGAUUGUUGAAAAGGAAUCCUAAUCCUCAAGCCAUGUGUGAAGUUGAUUGUUCACGUGUGAUUGUGUAAUUAUACAACUAUAUUUAAUAUAAAAAGGAUAAGAGAAAGAGUGAAGGUGGAGAAACAAAGUGAUAGAGGCAAAGAGGGAGAGUGUGUAAAUAGUUGUUGAAGGAUAGUCUAGUGUUGGGUUUGUCUCCUAUUUAUAUUGAAUUCUUGACCAUGUGUAGAAAAGUGAAAGGAAAUGACAAGAUGUUAGGUGUGGUCAAUGCAUACAUGGUGUAUUCUAAUGGAAAUGGUUAAAUCAAUACAUUCAAUCAUGUGGUCAAAUCAAUUCACUUUGUUUAAAACUUGGUGUAAAUAAUGCAUGUGGUCAAAUCAAUUAUCUUUAUUUACGUGGUCAAAUCAAUUACACUGGCUUGAAAUGUAGUGUAAAUAAUGCAUGUGGUCAAAUCAAUUACAUUAACAUGAAAUGUGGUGUGAAUAUAAGUCAUCUUUAAUCAAGACCAAUUGCUAUAUUUACAUAUAUUUUACGUAUGAUUUCAUCUAACUUCUAAAAUAACUUUCCACUUAUGUUCUCAAACUAUUGGUCAAUAACCAAUAAAGUCAAUAGACUAGGCCAAUAAUCAAUAAGGUCCUUAGACUUUAAUAAUAGCACACUUAAGUCCUAAAUUUAAAUCUAGCUAGUAGUAAAAAUUCAGGAUGUUAAAGCCUCCAUCUGCACGUCUCGAAUAUGGCCUUAAUUUCACCAAUCAACCUUUGGAUUGCCCUAAAAUCGAGAUUACACUUCCGACUUUUAAAGGAAAAACUGCAUUGUUCCAUUUUUGUUCCAAUUUAUGUCGAUUUCGGCCGAUCUCUACUCAAUCCACACCCUUUCUUUACUUUGGUUGCCUCGGAUUUUCUCACCCACAAAGGAUGACGGUGGCUGCAAGGCAUGACAAAUGAAAGGAAGAAGAAUGGUGGCUCUACUCACCAACACAUGGCUGGACUCUUUCUCUUUCACUUCUCUCUUGCGGUUACCUUCUCUCCCUUGCAAAACCACACUCUCACGGCUGGAAUGGAGAUUAGGGAUAUAUAGCCAAGAUGUUAGGUCACCAAUUUGGGCUAAACAUAUCACGAAAUGGGCUGCCACUUCAAGAUCGCAACUAAGAUAAAUGAGCCAAUAAUAUCAUCCACAUAAAUGGGCUACCAUAUCACCACCUAACCAACAAAAUCCAACUCAAUAACUUGGGCCCUUCAAAAGUGUUGGUCGUUUCCGGGUCGAGUCAAGUCUAUGGUGUCGAUAAAUUUUCCAACAUCUGAUUUAAAUUAUCGUCUGAAUUUAUUGGGUGUAAUGGAAUGCAAUGAGAGUUGCCUUCACCUGUUGAACAAUUGAAAGAAUUAGCGAAUUUGAGCUUUUGGUUAAUUGGUUUCAUCAGUGCUAUGUCCAUUUGAUGAACUGCUUUCUCAUAUGUCAAUAUUCUAAUGCCAUAUUAUUUGCAGGUUGGUUAACAUGUACGACGUAUGACAUCAGCGUCGAAAACUAUAAAUGCAUCAUUGUCAGCCAAUCACUGUGGAAUUGCUAACCUUACAUUUCAUCAUCGUGGCACAUUUUGUUAGUUUUAGCGAUUUCUAGUUGGAUAUGCUCUUUGUAGUUUUUACACUUCUCCCACUGGACGUAAAGUUUAUCUCAUGGCAAUAAUAGUUUCUAUCAGGAACGUGACGAGAUUGGGGCCGAGUAUUGUGCUUAGUUGGAAGCAUCUCUUUGAGAAUGUCAAAAGUCUGUAUGGAUGAUUGAAGUUUUGGUCAUGCACGUGUGUUAAUGUUGUACUGUUAAAUGGCCAUAUAAGGAGGAAAUUAAUAUAUAUGGAUUUAAGGGUAAAUAAAUUCAAUUGCCUUC
rnacentral:lncRNA from 1 species